GGGGAAGUCCGGUGAGAACCCGGCGCUGACCCGCAACGGUGUGCACGGGACCGCGAGUUCGGUCCUCGUGCGAGCCCGAUCGCCC
rnacentral:ncRNA from 1 species